rnacentral:rRNA from 1 species
UAAUACCGCAUACGUCCUACGGGAGAAAGCAGGGGACCUUCGGGCCUUGCGCUAUCAGAUGAGCCUAGGUCGGAUUAGCUAGUUGGUGAGGUAAUGGCUCACCAAGGCGACGAUCCGUAACUGGUCUGAGAGGAUGAUCAGUCACACUGGAACUGAGACACGGUCCAGACUCCUACGGGAGGCAGCAGUGGGGAAUAUUGGACAAUGGGCGAAAGCCUGAUCCAGCCAUGCCGCGUGUGUGAAGAAGGUCUUCGGAUUGUAAAGCACUUUAAGUUGGGAGGAAGGGCAGUAAAUUAAUACUUUGCUGUUUUGACGUUACCGACAGAAUAAGCACCGGCUAACUCUGUGCCAGCAGCCGCGGUAAUACAGAGGG